ACAAUACUGAAUCUUCAAUACUUCUAGGGAUUGCGAUCCAGAAAUAAUGUCAUCGAGAAAUCCAUUACAUAUCUUCACAUAUGAUAGCUCUAAAGAUUUCAGAUUAUGACAUCCAACAACAACCAAAUUUCUCGAUAAAUAACCAUUGUAAAACAAGUGUUCAAGGCUUGGUGCUUCGAUUCUCACACGUUGGUUUCUAUUUAUUGAUAGGGAAACUGACUUGAGCUUUUGAAGAUUCAUAAGCUCAAUCUUUACCAACCCCGAACAACGAUCAAGGGUAAAAGAGUCGAUGAACGGACAACUAUUAAGUAAAGUCUGAAGCAAUUUUUUGCUUAUAAAUAUAUAAGAUAGAGAAAGCUUUCUCAAAGAAUGACAAUUCGCGAACCCAGUAGAUGGCGAAAAAUGCACAAUGUCACAACCUUUCAGAUCCAAUUCUCUUA
rnacentral:misc_RNA from 1 species